rnacentral:rRNA from 1 species
AUUGAACGCUGGCGGAAUGCUUUACACAUGCAAGUCGAACGGUAGAGGGGGCAACCCCUCGAGAGUGGCGAACGGGUGAGUAAUAUAUCGGAACGUGCCCAGUCGUGGGGGAUAACGUAGCGAAAGUUACGCUAAUACCGCAUACGAUCUAAGGAUGAAAGCGGGGGAUCGCAAGACCUCGCGCGAUUGGAGCGGCCGAUAUCAGAUUAGGUAGUUGGUGGGGUAAAGGCUCACCAAGCCAACGAUCUGUAGCUGGUCUGAGAGGACGACCAGCCACAAUGGAACUGAGACACGGUCCAGACGCCUACGGGAGGCAGCAGUGGGGAAUUUUGGACAAUGGACGCAAGUCUGAUCCAGCCAUUCCGCGUGCAGGAUGAAGGCCCUCGGGUUGUAAACUGCUUUUGUACGGAACGAAAAGGUCUCUCUUAAUACGGGGGACUCAUGACGGUACCGUAAGAAUAAGCACCGGCUAACUACGUGCCAGCCGCCGCCGUAA